rnacentral:rRNA from 1 species
AGAGUUUGAUCCUGGCUCAGGAUGAACGCUAGCUACAGGCUUAACACAUGCAAGUCGAGGGGCAUCAGGAAGAAAGCUUGCUUUCUUUGCUGGCGACCGGCGCACGGGUGAGUAACACGUAUCCAACCUGCCCUUUACUCGGGGAUAGCCUUUCGAAAGAAAGAUUAAUACCCGAUAGCAUAAUGAUUCCGCAUGGUUUCAUUAUUAAAGGAUUCCGGUAAAGGAUGGGGAUGCGUUCCAUUAGGUUGUUGGUGAGGUAACGGCUCACCAAGCCUUCGAUGGAUAGGGGUUCUGAGAGGAAGGUCCCCCACAUUGGAACUGAGACACGGUCCAAACUCCUACGGGAGGCAGCAGUGAGGAAUAUUGGUCAAUGGGCGGUAGCCUGAACCAGCCAAGUAGCGUGAAGGAUGAAGGCUCUAUGGGUCGUAAACUUCUUUUAUAUAAGAAUAAAGUGCAGUAUGUAUACUGUUUUGUAUGUAUUAUAUGAAUAAGGAUCGGCUAACUCCGUGCCAGCAGCCGCGGUAAUACGGAGGAUCCGAGCGUUAUCCGGAUUUAUUGGGUUUAAAGGGAGCGUAGGUGGACUGGUAAGUCAGUUGUGAAAGUUUGCGGCUCAACCGUAAAAUUGCAGUUGAUACUGUCAGUCUUGAGUACAGUAGAGGUGGGCGGAAUUCGUGGUGUAGCGGUGAAAUGCUUAGAUAUCACGAAGAACUCCGAUUGCGAAGGCAGCUCACUGGACUGCAACUGACACUGAUGCUCGAAAGUGUGGGUAUCAAACAGGAUUAGAUACCCUGGUAGUCCACACAGUAAACGAUGAAUACUCGCUGUUUGCGAUAUACAGUAAGCGGCCAAGCGAAAGCAUUAAGUAUUCCACCUGGGGAGUACGCCGGCAACGGUGAAACUCAAAGGAAUUGACGGGGGCCCGCACAAGCGGAGGAACAUGUGGUUUAAUUCGAUGAUACGCGAGGAACCUUACCCGGGCUUAAAUUGCAGUGGAAUGAUGUGGAAACAUGUCAGUGAGCAAUCACCGCUGUGAAGGUGCUGCAUGGUUGUCGUCAGCUCGUGCCGUGAGGUGUCGGCUUAAGUGCCAUAACGAGCGCAACCCUUAUCUUCAGUUACUAACAGGUCAUGCUGAGGACUCUGGAGAGACUGCCGUCGUAAGAUGUGAGGAAGGUGGGGAUGACGUCAAAUCAGCACGGCCCUUACGUCCGGGGCUACACACGUGUUACAAUGGGGGGUACAGAAGGCAGCUAGCGGGUGACCGUAUGCUAAUCCCAAAAUCCUCUCUCAGUUCGGAUCGAAGUCUGCAACCCGACUUCGUGAAGCUGGAUUCGCUAGUAAUCGCGCAUCAGCCACGGCGCGGUGAAUACGUUCCCGGGCCUUGUACACACCGCCCGUCAAGCCAUGGGAG